rnacentral:rRNA from 1 species
ACUGCUCAGUAACACGUGGACAACCUACCCAAGAGUCAGGGAUAACCCCGGGAAACUGGGGAUAAUACUGAUAGGGCACGACAUCUGGAAUCGAGUCGUGGUUUAAACGUAAGGCUCUUGGAUGGGUCUGCGGCGGAUUAGGUUGUUGCCGGUGUAACGUACCAGCAAGCCUGUAAUCCGUACGGGUUGUGGGAGCAAGAGCCCGGAGAUGGAUUCUGAGACACGAAUCCAGGCCCUACGGGGCGCAGCAGGCGCGAAAACUCUACAAUGCAGGCAACUGCGAUAGGGGAACAUCGAGUGGCACCCACCAUGGGUGUCUGUCCAGCCGUCUAAAAAACGGCUGUUAGCAAGGGCCGGGCAAGACCGGUGCCAGCCGCCGCGGUAAUACCGGCGGCUCGAGUGGUGGCCGAUAUUAUUGAGUCUAAAGGGUCCGUAGCCGGCUUUGCAAGUCCCCUGGGAAAUCCAGCGGCUUAACCGUUGGGCUUUCAUGGGAUACUACAUUGCUUGGGACUGGGAGAGGUAGGAGGUACUCAGGGGGUAGGGGUGAAAUCCUGUAAUCCUCCGGGGACCACCGGUGGCGAAGGCGUCCUACCAGAACAGGUCCGACGGUGAGGGACGAAAGCUAGGGGCACGAACCGGAUUAGAUACCCGGGUAGUCCUAGCCGUAAACGAUGCUCGCUAGGUGUCACGGCAGUCGUGAAUUGUCGUGGUGCCGUAGGGAAGCCGUGAAGCGAGCCACUUGGGAAGUACGACCGCAAGGUUGAAACUUAAAGGAAUUGGCGGGGGAGCAC